rnacentral:rRNA from 1 species
UCAAGAAAAUAUGUAUCUGCAAGGGAGUAUUACUGCUUCAAGCUGAUGAUUAGGAAGAAGCUUUUUAACAUCGUCCUGUCGGGGGGGCGCCUUUUCCAACAAUGGGCCGUUGAUAUGUACAUUAAGAUCGAGACAAUGAGGCUGGAUUGGUACUCCAAGCCAGAAAAUCAGAAGAUUAUACGCGCGGACCUCUAUCAGGGUCUUGUAGACACGAUCGCUGCUGGUGAGUCAUGUGGUGAUCGGAUUGGUAAACGGAUUGUGCUCCCAAGGACAUUUCCUGGUGGUGAUAGAGAUACGCAGAGAAGGUUCCUAGAUGCAAUUGCCAUAGUACAGCGAUGGGGUAAACCAGAUUACUUCAUCACAAUGACAUGCAACCCAUACUGGGAGGAGAUAACAACAGAGCUGAUGCCCGGACAGCUACCACAGGAUCGACCAGACCUGGUUGCAAGAGUGUACAAAGCAAAGCAACGAGAUUUGAUGGACUUACUCAUCAAGAAGAAGCAUUUUGGCGAGGUUGCGGCCUAUGUUCAUGUGACCGAGUUUCAGAAAAGAGGGCUCCCACACGAACAUAUCCUUCUAAUCAUGAAGGCAGGUAGCAAGUUAAAGACUCCAGAUGACUAUGACAAAGUCAUAUCAGCAGAAAUACCUGAUAAAGAUAAAUACCCUGUCCUACAUGCUCUGGUCAUAAAACACAUGUUGCACGGGCCAUGUGGUGUCCUCAAUAAAAAAUGUGCUUGCAUGAUUGAGGAGUAG